AAGAAAUAAAUAAUUGCGAAAUUCCAUUACCAGCAGAAGAUAUUUAAUGAAUGUAUUGGCAUCGAAUGACAUUUUCUGUCAUUUGUAAAUAUGUAAAGUAUCUGCACGGCAAAAUUACUACAUAACAGUGUGAAUAAAACUUGAUAUACUCAUUAAAUACAUAUAUACAAAUAACACAAGUAACAUUACAACUACACAUCUUGUUCACCCCACCAUUUCCUAUUCGUUACCUUACAGCUUCAGCUACCACCGUUAUCUCGUAAGACGAUAACUCCGUUUCUAAAGUUUUAGAUAAUUAUACUUACUUCGUGCCGUUACCAUAGUGUUUACGAACGUCUUGCGGAGUGCGAAUUGUUAUACAAAGUGCCUUAGAUUAAUCACAAAUAUUUGAUAGAUAAUUGGAUUAAAUUGUCAUCAAGUAUUUGGUGGAAACUUUAUAAGAUUAACUUGGCUAUCAAAUAAUUGAAAAUUGAGCAUCCUCGUGUGGUAUUCCUUGAAGAAGAUAUAGAUUUUGAAAAAAACAAUGAAUCCUGAGUGAAAUUAAUUGACGCAAAGAUUCCGAGUGAUUUCUUAUUGGCCAGACGGUUAAUCCCCUGACUUCUAAGAUCCAAACGCUGCACCACUACAACGAGUUUCCGUCAUUCUUGUCGUCAUUUAGACGAUCGCCUCCUUCAUCACAGCUAUUCUCUGUGUGUCUCUUCAUCACCAACACUGUUAACGUUACAUCGUUAACUCUAAUACUCCACCGAGUUAUUCACUUAAAAACAGUUGAUAGUAUAAGCUUCAAAAGAUCGGAUAUCUCAGUUCCGAUCUCUCAUUUUCAUAGUUAAAAUUCAAGAAGUGAAAGUCUAUUUGAAAUCAAAAAAUACUCACCAUUUAUC
rnacentral:misc_RNA from 1 species